UUCACGUUUCUUUUUACUACAAGUUUACUAAAGAAAAUAAUUCAAAAGCAAGUUUUCAUGGUAGGUUGAGCUUUAAAAAACACAUACACAAGUUAUCUGGUGUCUGGUGUCGUAAAAAAGAGAGGGGCGAAAAUUACGUAGGCAUUUCUACAUUAUCUUUCUCACUGUGUAACUGGAGGCUGGAACGUUUUAGAAACUCAAGACGAGCAAUAACAAUAUUAAUGGAAGUGAUAUUAAAACUUUAUCGUGAAAUUCCUAAACACAAACAGCUGUAUCAAAAAAAAGUUUCGUAAUGAGGUAUAAAUAAUUUCACGAGUUCACAACUUGGAAUGAAUUUUUUUAGAUUAUAACCAAUACAUAAAUGGUUAGAUUAGAUACCUUGAUUUACUCGUAGGUGGUUAUUCCUUUUUUUUAUUUUACUAUUAAUCUUGGUCUAAGAUAGGUUCUUUAAAAGUAGUGACCUGAAUCUUCAAUAAAAUUUUAUUAUAAGGAAUGUUCUCGAAGUAGGCAAAUUAUCCAUCUAGUAAACCAAGGCACUAGCUUCUCCUGUUGUAGCAUAGGUCAUGUUAAUUUGCCUGAAUUUAUUUGGGUAGAUUAACCUAUCUACAUAUUGUUCAAUGAUUCUGGGCUUAAGUGAUGAGAGUGGGGAAAAGUUGAACUUAUGGACGUUAGGUAAGUCCUACCUAACGUAGUAGGUACCAAGAAUAAUUCGAAUGUGGAUUGGUACGUAUGUUUUGAAGUGUUACGCGAUCGCGUUGUAAUUAAUCCUUUUUCUUUAUAUGUUUCUAUUUUUCUAAUAAUGUUUCGAGUAAGAAUAAAAUGAAUUAGUUUCGAGUGUUAAAUUUGUUUGAAUGUUCGAUAAUGAUUUCGUGUUUUAAUUCGAUUGAAUCGGUUUUAAUUAUGGAAGAGUAGACCUGUGUCACGUAAGCCAGUAAUGGCGGUGCUUAGGCACACGCCUAGAUAAUGGUGUGAAUUUAGGGAAAAUUCUUCUUAGAUAGGGCUACUAUAUAGUCAUGGAAAUUGACUCCGUCUUAGUUUAUUAAAUCAAAAUUGUCAAGGUAAUGUCAGGUUUAGAAACUAAUAAUUAAAUAUAUCAGGUAUGAUAUAUUAUUAGCUCUUAGAAAUUUAGAUAAUCGAGUAAACGAUUCAAAUUUAUAAUGUGUCUAACAUUGUAAUUAUUCCUAUGAAUAAUAUUUUAUAAUCGAAUAAAUACCUAUCACCUAAAAGAGGUUACGAUCUCACCUUAUGCUUUUGAAACUUUGAUAGGUAUUUACCUAUUUGUGUAUAUAGUCCCUUUUUCUAACCUUUUUCGAUGAUAGGAAAUAAAUUACUCUCUGGUUUAGACAUUUUAAUUAUCUGGAGUAUAGGCAGGUUCCUUUAUGUUACUUUCCUGUAGAAUUACCCACUUAUCCUAUUUAGUUAUACCAGUCUAACUCCUUACCUACCUAUUUGGACACGCCAAGCUUUCCCCAAAAAAUGAUUCCUUACUAAAAUUAUUUAAUCCUAUACCACAGAUAAUUAAAAUUGGCGCCCAACGUGGGGCAUAAGUUUGUGUCAAUUUAAGUAGGUAAGACCUACCUAAAAGAAAAAUUUUCCAUUUUUGAAAAUUUGUGUCAAAAUUGAAAUUCAGGAAAUUUCGUAUAAUUUGGAUUUUUUAUUGAAUAAAAUAAUGAGAAGAAUUUAUUUCCAUGGCCAUAAGUAAUUUUAUUUCAUUUGUGAGCCUUCUGUCUCCAGUUGAAACUGGAUAGAAAAAUUUCCGUCUGUAACCAUGUAUCGAGUAGGUAGAUACAUGGGUUACGUAGAUUCGUGUUAAGAAGGUUUUUUCUAGCAAGCACACUGUCAAUUGUACCUACUUACGAGCAUGAAAAUGCGUAAACGAAAUAAAUGUACUUGUCUAGGUAAAGGUAUAAUGUAUCGAACGAAAUUGCAUCUCAAAAGACCUUGAAAUAUGUGUAAAUAUGUUUGUGUUAGUAGAUAAUUAGGCCAACUAAAUUCUCUCCUCCCCCCAAACGUUUUCGAUUGCUUUCGAGCAUUCGAGUACAAACUAGCUAUAAGAUUAUAAGAAGUACAGUUUGAGUUUAAAAAAAAAAAAAUAUGAAAAAAAAAAGAUAAAAAUAGCUUCGAGUGAUCGAAUAGAAAAAGAGUUCCUAGAAAAACCAGACUGCUAGAGUAUCUAUUGUAUUCGUGUACUGCGCAUAUCCUUAUCAGAACUUGUUCACGUUGUGUUCUGCUGCGUAGGUUAAGGCAACAGUAUUGUAAUAUCUUUCGUUGCGUAUGUUUCUGUGUUUUGAAUGCUUUUAGUGCGAAUUUUUACUUUUCCUUUUUGAGUAAUUAGUCAAUGAAUUUGUUCGAUUAUUUCUUGUAAUUGUUUCAAGCUCUAAUUUGUAAAGCUUUCGAGUGUGAAGUGUGUAAGAAAGAGUGUCGGCCUGUAUUCGAGUUCCUGGUUAUUGUUCCAGUCAUUUUACUCUGUUUAUUCGUUUGGCAUAUAAAAUGGACGCUCCGAAGAUCCACAAUAAUCGAUUCUAUUCCAAGUGUAGCGACUGUCACGUCCACUUCAUCAAGAACGAAUUUAUUCCCGAUGAUCGAGUGUUUAUGUGUACCCCCCAGUCUGCUGAAUUGGAUAUUAUCAUCGAGCGAAAAGACCAGAAAUUAUUUCCAUUUAUUGGAUUCAACUACGAAUGCCCGAUCCGUCAUCGAAUUAACGUUCAAGUCGAGUCAUUGAGUUUUUCGGAAGCUUUGAAAAAAGCUGCGUUCGAGUUUUUGCUCAAUAAAGUCCGUCUAUAUGUUAACAAAUUUCUGACGUUGACUUUUGGCUGCGACUAUUUACUCGAUGAAUUUAAGCCAACCACAUUCGACCGUUCGCUGAUUCGUUCCUUUUCAACUUUCGUACCUAAUGAGUUGUUGAUCAUACCGAAUAUGGACGAAUUUAUCUCCUGCGCAUUCAACGAUUUAUUCCUUGGCGCGACGAUUUUCGAGUAAAAAGUAACUUUUCAGUAUACUUCCCGAUCACUCUCAACCCUGGAAUGCCAGGAUACGAAAAUGACGAGCAUAUCGUCAAUUGCUACGUCACUGAACUUCACCCUUAUCGAAUUUCUGGUGAAGUUAAAGGCACCAUAAUUCUCGGACGGAAUUUUACAUCGAAUAUUAUCAAAUACGAUGAUAAUAAGGUCGAAUUUACGCUCAAAGGUACGCGAACAAAUCCUACUCCUCGAAUAGUCCGUUGCAAGAAGAUGUUGCCAUUGAUUCGAGUAGAUGGCAUAUUAAACACUCUUCGAAUAAUGUCACCCGAUCAACUUCGAGCGGAAUUCGAACACAUACUCCUCUACAUUCGAGCAAAAAAGACGAAGGAUGGAGUGGACGACGGUCGCUACGACGGUAAAUAGGUUUUGUUCCUUUUUCGAGUUUGAACAAUGUUAUUGUUUCUUUGUCGAGUAUUUUUUGUAUUUUUUCUUUUUGUUUUUCUACCGAUUUUGACUAUGUACCCGAUUAUGACGUUUUUUCUCGAUUGUGACCUUUUUUGUAUUUGUAAUUUUUGUUUAAAUCAGCAGCUGUGAUUUAUGAUCUUUUUAUUUUAUAAUUUUCGAGUUUUUUAUCUUUAAAUUUUUUAUCAAAUUUUUGUACUUGUCUUUCGAAGAUAUUUUUAAUUUGAAAAUUUUCCAAAGUGCAACUUUUUCCCAAUCUCCUCACUUCAGUUUGCCAGGGGAGAAUUUUAUGUAGCAUAGGUCAUGUUAAUUUGCCUGAAUUUAUUUGGGUAGAUUAACCUAUCUACAUAUUGUUCAAUGAUUCUGGGCUUAAGUGAUGAGAGUGGGGAAAAGUUGAACUUAUGGACGUUAGGUAAGUCCUACCUAACGUAGUAGGUACCAAGAAUAAUUCGAAUGUGGAUUGGUACGUAUGUUUUGAAGUGUUACGCGAUCGCGUUGUAAUUAAUCCUUUUUCUUUAUAUGUUUCUAUUUUUCUAAUAAUGUUUCGAGUAAGAAUAAAAUGAAUUAGUUUCGAGUGUUAAA